rnacentral:rRNA from 1 species
CUGGCUCAGAACGAACGCUGGCGGCGUGCCUAACACAUGCAAGUCGAACGAGAAAGGGAUCUUCGGAU